AUGUAUUAACAGAGCGUCUCUUAUUAACUUUUAGAAGCGAAGAAUCAUCACCAGUAGAGAAGCAAAAAACAAAGAAAAAGACUCAGAGAACACCACAAAAGACACAAUCCAAAAAGAAAAAGAUCUGAAAUUGGAACUGAAGAAUUAGA